CAGCAGCCGCGGGAAUACGAAGGGGGCUAGCGUUGCUCGGAAUGACUGGGCGUAAAGGGCGCGUAGGCGGCGAUCAAAGUCAGGCGUGAAAUUCCUGGGCUCAACCUGGGGGCUGCGCUUGAUACUUGGUUGCUUGAGUGGGGAAGAGGGUCGUGGAAUUCCCAGUGUAGAGGUGAAAUUCGUAGAUAUUGGGAAGAACACCGGUGGCGAAGGCGGCGACCUGGUCCUUGACUGACGCUGAGGCGCGAAAGCGUGGGGAGCAAACAGGAUUAGAUACCCCUGUAGUCCCUGUCUCUUAUAC
rnacentral:rRNA from 1 species